GACUCAGGACACCCCUGCACGGCGGCCGACCCUGACAGCUGCUUCACGCCUGUGUCUCCGCAGCACUUCAUCGACCUCUUCAAGUUUUAAGGGCUGCCCCUGCCAUCCCUAUUGGAGAUUGUGAAUCCUGCUGUCUGUGCAGGGCUCAUAGUGAGUGUUCUGUGAGAGAUGGGGUUUCACCAUGUUGCCCAGGCUGGUCUCAGGAGUUUGAGCUCAAGCAAUCCACCUGCCUCAGCUUCCCAAAGUGCUGGGAUUACAGGCAUGAGCCACCACGUCCAGCUGAGAAAAGAAAUUGUUCUAAUCUAGGAAAGGGAGUAAGUACAUUGAGUUUCCAUUAUCCCUGAAGCACAGGUAUUUCUUUUUCUGUUGGUGCUGUUUUAAUAAGUGAAGAAUUUGAUGUAUGAUAAAUUGUGAGCUUGAAUAUUUCCAUAUAUUUAUUAUCCAUUUGCUUUUCUUGUUUUUGGUAAAUUACUUAAUGUGGUAUUUGCCUGUUUUUUGGGGUGGAUGUCAGUCUUUUUUCAUGUUAGUUUCUUCUUAAAAGGAAACUAUCCUUUUGAAGUUGUGGUUCUUUCCCCUAAUUUGUCAUAUACUGUUACUGUCAUUUAAUUGUUAGAUGUUAUAACAGUUCUCAGCUGUGCUAUCAAAUCACAGAUGUGCAUUUAACUUGUAUAAAUUGAGCAGUACUUGCUUGGAAAACAUAACCAUAUUAAUAGUGUAGGAUUCCAGCUGUUCUGCUGGGCUGGCAUAUUUCCACAGGCCAUGGACACAGCUAGCCGCAUUGCCACUGCAUGGGUCACAGCCUCCUGCAGGUGCGUUCGAGGGACAA
rnacentral:lncRNA from 1 species